rnacentral:rRNA from 1 species
UACGGGGGGGGCAAGCGUUGUUCGGAAUUACUGGGCGUAAAGGGCUCGUAGGUGGCCAACUAAGUCAGACGUGAAAUCCCUCGGCUUAACCGGGGAACUGCGUCUGAUACUGGAUGGCUUGAGUUUGGGAGAGGGAUGCGGAAUUCCAGGUGUAGCGGUGAAAUGCGUAGAUAUCUGGAGGAACACCCGUGGCGAAGGCGGCUCUCUGGGACGGUACUGACGCUGAGACGCGAAAGCGUGGGGAGCGAACAGG